rnacentral:rRNA from 1 species
AUUGAACGCUGGCGGCAGGCCUAACACAUGCAAGUCGAACGAGUGGCGGACGGGUGAGUAAUGUCUGGGAAACUGCCUGAUGGAGGGGGAUAACUACUGGAAACGGUAGCUAAUACCGCAUACCAUCAGAUGUUCCCAGCUGGGAUUAGCUAGUUGGGGGGGUAACGGCUCACAAAGGCGAUGAUCCCUAGCUGGGCUGAGAGGAUGACCAGCCACACUGGAACUGAGACACGGUCCAGACUCCUACGGUAGGCAGCAGUGGGGAAUAUUGCACAAGGGGCGCAAGCCUGAUGCAGCCAUGCCGCGUGUAUGAAGAAGGCCUUCGGGUUGUAAAGUACUUUCAGCGGGGAGGCGUUACCCGCAGAAGAAGCACCGGCUAACUCCGUGCCAGCAGCCGCGGUAAUUC